AGAGUUUGAUCCUGGCUCAGGACGAACGCUGGCGGCGCGCCUAACACAUGCAAGUCGAACGGAGCUGUUUUCUCUGAAGUUUUCGGAUGGAAGAGAGUUCAGCUUAGUGGCGAACGGGUGAGUAACACGUGAGCAACCUGCCUUUCAGUGGGGGACAACAUUUGGAAACGAAUGCUAAUACCGCAUAAGACCACAGUGUCGCAUGGCACAGGGGUCAAAGGAUUUAUCCGCUGAAAGAUGGGCUCGCGUCCGAUUAGCUAGAUGGUGAGGUAACGGCCCACCAUGGCGACGAUCGGUAGCCGGACUGAGAGGUUGAACGGCCACAUUGGGACUGAGACACGGCCCAGACUCCUACGGGAGGCAGCAGUGGGGAAUAUUGCACAAUGGGGGAAACCCUGAUGCAGCGACGCCGCGUGGAGGAAGAAGGUCUUCGGAUUGUAAACUCCUGUCCCAGGGGACGAUAAUGACGGUACCCUGGGAGGAAGCACCGGCUAACUACGUGCCAGCAGCCGCGGUAAAACGUAGGGUGCAAGCGUUGUCCGGAAUUACUGGGUGUAAAGGGAGCGCAGGCGGAUUGGCAAGUUGGGAGUGAAAUCUAUGGGCUCAACCCAUAAAUUGCUUUCAAAACUGUCAGUCUUGAGUGGUGUAGAGGUAGGCGGAAUUCCCGGUGUAGCGGUGGAAUGCGUAGAUAUCGGGAGGAACACCAGUGGCGAAGGCGGCCUACUGGGCACUAACUGACGCUGAGGCUCGAAAGCAUGGGUAGCAAACAGGAUUAGAUACCCUGGUAGUCCAUGCCGUAAACGAUGAUUACUAGGUGUGGGAGGAUUGACCCCUUCCGUGCCGCAGUUAACACAAUAAGUAAUCCACCUGGGGAGUACGACCGCAAGGUUGAAACUCAAAGGAAUUGACGGGGGCCCGCACAAGCGGUGGAGCAUGUGGUUUAAUUCGAAGCAACGCGAAGAACCUUACCAAGUCUUGACAUCCCUCUGACCGAAACUUAACCGUUCCUUUCCUUCGGGACAGAGGAGACAGGUGGUGCAUGGUUGUCGUCAGCUCGUGUCGUGAGAUGUUGGGUUAAGUCCCGCAACGAGCGCAACCCUUAUCUUCAGUAGCCAGCAUUAAGGAUGGGCACUCUGGAGAGACUGCCAGGGAUAACCUGGAGGAAGGUGGGGAUGACGU
rnacentral:rRNA from 1 species